rnacentral:rRNA from 1 species
UACGUAGGGGGCAAGCGUUGUCCGGAUUUAUUGGGCGUAAAGAGCGUGUAGGCGGCCGUACAGGUCAGCUGUGAAAACUCGAGGCUCAACCUCGAGACGUCGGUUGAAACCGUACGGCUAGAGUCCGGAAGAGGAGAGUGGAAUUCCCGGGUGUAGCGGUGAAAUGCGCAGAUAUCGGGAAGAACACCCGUGGCGAAGGCGGCUCUCUGGGACGGUACUGACGCUGAGACGCGAAAGCGUGGGGAGCGAACAGG